GGGGACGACUGGUUUUGACAGCAAGAUCAAUUGAUCUGUAAGCAUGCCGAGCAAUGAAAUAGCACUCGUAAAAAUCAAUUUCAAACCAUAAACGGCGAAAAUAAUUACGCUUUAGCUGCUUAAUAACUGAAUUAUAGUAAGUUCAAGCCCUGGCGCACAAGGUGCGCAAGCUAAAUGUCUCUUGAAAGCCUUGGUUAACGGCGGUCAGUUUAGAGGCAUCGUAAAAGUUAACAUAGAAAUGUGGAAGUUUCGGCAACAUUUCGAAAAUUAAGAAACUAAGCUCAAUGUAGGCGGUUUUUGGCCGGCUUUGAGUCGAAAACUAAUCAAAAACUAAGCAUGUAGAAAGCAUUUUGGUUGCUUGUUUGGACGAGGGUUCGAGUCCCUCCGUCUCCACUU
rnacentral:tmRNA from 1 species